UUGGUCUAUAAACUCUCAUGGCAUGCAUGAAAAUAUGGUAUGAUGGAUUUUCGUUUGCAGAGAUGAUAGUUUUCUUAUCAUAUCAAAUCUUUUUUGCCUUAUUCACGUGUACUUUUAUUCUCUAUCUUAGUCAAUAGCCAUGCAAAAUUUUGUAUUGGUUCUCUUUCCUUUUGCAGGUAUGAUAUCUUGAUUCACCAAGAUUUUGAUCUUCUGCCGAGAUCAUCUUUUAGAGUUAUUUUCUGUUUUGGUUUCUUUCCUUUAUUGGAUUAGGGUUUCUUGCAUAUCUAUCACUAUAUAACCAUCCUUCUAUCGAGCUUACUUUUGUCUCUAUCCCUCUCCAUUCUCUUCUUCUUUCACCUUGGUUGUUCAGUGUGUAGGUUUUUGUCGCCAUGGUUGGAGUUCGUCGUUCCAGAAGAGACCUGCAAGAAGCUCGGGCUGAGGCCGAGCGUCUGAACCAAGAGAUGGAUGAACGCAGCGCUGCUGCUGCCGCCGCUGUUCCUGUUACCGUCGGCGAUCUCACACAAGCCUUCUCCCGGCUUGGUGUUCAUCUGCAAUCCCAGGUUGAUCGAAUCCACCAAGUUCAUCUCUUUCAUCAUGAACGUAUUACUGCUCAGUUAUCCCGACUGGAACUUGCGAUUGGUGUGCUCACCGAUCUCGGUGUGGAAUCUCAAGAGAUGCUUUCCAAGCAAUUUGUUUCACCGGUUGCGUCUCCUGCCCCUGCCCCUGCCCCGGUGCACUCCUCUUCGUCAUCCUCUACUUUCUCUAGCUCUGACAACGCCCAGCCAUCUCCACCUCCUCUUCCUCUGGCUGGCAGCUCACUCUGGCAUGCCAUUGCCUUAGACCGGGAGGACCAAGCUGCAAGGGAAACACAAGCUUCUUUGGCUGCAUGGCGAGCUCAUCAUGACCAUCUCCGUUCUCAAGCGGUUCUUCCCCAUGCCCAAGGAGAUGUGCCUCAGGUUCCUGUACCCGCGAAUGAUGAUCUUGUCGACCGUCGCCGGAGCGGGCGGUUGGCUCUUCGUCGAAGUGGCUAGGGGUUUCUGUGUCGUCCGUCUUUCUCCUCCUUUGCCCUCCAUCAACUUAGGGGGAGAAAUCAAGUAGCAUGCAUGCAUGCAUCAAGUUAUAAUGUUUUUAACUGUGGUUUUUGGUUUGAACUAUUGUCUCUUGCAUGAGAUUACGAACUUAGUUUGCUUUGGUUUGUAAUAAGUGCUAUGCACACGAACUCUUGAAUUAUUUGUUAUAGUUUGGUGUUUUAUUUUGAAACCUAUGAUCUAGUCAUUUGAUUUUCUUGAAAAGGAUGAUCAUUGAUUCUUGAAAUCAAGUGACCUAUUUUCGUUUUCGAAAAUAGUGAGAGGCUUCGAUAGAUUAUGGUUGUUUGUUUUCAACUUUCAUGUUAAUGUACUAAUCUUUGUCAUCCAGGUACUUGAUGUUGGAAGUUGCAUGGAAGGCCAAAGGGGGAGAUUGAAGAUAUAUUGGCCUCCAUGAGUUGAUGGAGUUCAAAGAUUUCGAAAAUAGUGACAAAGAGAAGAUAUUGAAGUUUCCUAUUCGGAAGGUCUCUUGCCAUAUAGGUUGGGAUUUCCUUCUAUAUUUCUCAUCUUUUAUAUGGAUAGUUCUAGAUAUAUUUGGAAUGUAUUUUCAAAUAUAUUUUCAGUUUAUUAGGAUAUAGGCUGUUUAAGGUUAGUUCCUUUUCUAUACAAUUUAGAUUUAGAAAGUUGUUAUGGCAUUGAGGUGAUUCGGAUCUAGAUGGAAAAGAGGGCAGCUAGGUUCGGUUGCAAGGGUUUGGUUUAUAUAUAUAUAUCUCUAGGUACGGCUGUAUAGAUGUGGAGAUAGAGGUGCUAGGGUUUAACAUAUAUACAUAGAUAUAUAUAUGGUAGGGAGAAGAGAAAAACAUUGAGAAGAAAAUAUAGGUUUCGUGAAUGUGUGCUCUAGAGUUUUUUGUGUGAACAAAUAUUCAUAUCAUAGUAUAGUCCUGUGUGGCAAGAGACCUUCGUGACUCCAUUGAAGACCUUCGUGGCUUCAAGUCCUUCGUGGCAUUUCGAGACCUUCGUGGCUCCAUUCAAGACCUUCGUGGCUUCAAGUCCUUCGUGGCAUUUCAAGACCUUCGUGGCUUCAACGACCUCCGUGGCGUUAUCAUCCUUCGUGGCAACAAAGACCUUUGUGGCUUUGUAUUACACUUGACCGUGUUCUUCAAGUGUGAAGUAAUUUUACUUUUGAGAAUAUAUUACUUUUGAUCAUGUGUUGUCAAGUAAUUGUAAUCUUCUAUUCAAUAGUAAAGUAAAGUUCUUCUAUAUAAUCCGCUGCUUAUCUCAUAAUCGUUCUAUCUAGUAUUUUCAGAUAUCUAAAUAGUAAAUAGAGUUGAUGACAAUCAAUUACUAAAUUUUUAAUGUAUUAACUUGCUAAAUAACAUAUGGAUGACUAAAUGAGAAUUAGAAUUUGUACUCCUCAUUCUAAAAUUCAUAUUCAAUAGCUUAAAUCUUGUCUUUAUUAACUUGUCCCUUAUUUACAGCAGUCUGUAUAUCCAGAAAUAAAGUCUUUGAGAAGCUUAC
rnacentral:lncRNA from 1 species